AUAAUAUAUAACGGCGUAAAACACGACUAAAUACCAGUCCAACCAUUAGGGCUGAAACCAAACUAGGCUGUAAAAAGCCAUAAGUCACAAUAAAGACCCUAAUGACAAACAACUUCCACUCGUGAAAGCUAGGACACAAACUAAGAUUAGAUACCUUACUAUGCCUAGCCAUAACACAACAAUCAAAUUACCAAUUGUUCGCCAAAUAACUACGAGUAAGGACUUAAAAUUUAAAAGACUUGACGGUACCUCAUAACAACCUAGAGGAGCCUGUCAAAUAACCGAUACUCCACGAUUAACCCAACCCCCUCUAGCCUAACAGUCUAUAUACCGCCGUCGCCAGCCUACCUUGUGAAAGAAACAAAGUGAGCCAAAUAGCCACCACACUAAUACGACAGGUCGAGGUGUAACUUAUGGGGGGGAUCAUGAUGGGCUACAUUUUCUAAAACAGAAAACACGAAUAAACUAUGAAACAAGAAACUGAAGGCGGAUUUAGCAGUAAACUAUGAACAAAAUACCUAGUCGAAACCAAUGCAAUGAGGUGCGUACACACCGCCCGUCAUCCCUGUCAAUUAAACAACAAAAUCCAUAAA
rnacentral:rRNA from 1 species